rnacentral:rRNA from 1 species
UACAGAGGUCUCAAGCGUUGUUCGGAUUCAUUGGGCGUAAAGGGUGUGUAGGUGGCGCCGUAAGUCGGGUGUGAAAUUUCGGAGCUUAACUCCGAAACUGCAUUCGAUACUGCGGUGCUUGAGGACUGGAGAGGAGACUGGAAUUCAUGGUGUAGCAGUGAAAUGCGUAGAUAUCGAGAGGAACACCUGCGGCGAAGGCGGGUAGCUGGGCCGACACUGACGCUGAAGCGCGAAAGCUAGGGGAGCGAACGGG